AGAUUUUGCUGCAUCAUCCUCAGGGUGUUUUCGGCCUCCUGUGAGGGGAAAAAAUGGACAACAUACAAGGAGCGAGUAAGAAAGGUCGCAAAUGAGCUGCUGCCUUUCCCAGCUGACUUUGCGUGAAGAGGUAGGGUACACCCGAGCCUGGUCGCAUGUCAUUUGCAGGGCACACAGAGCCAACCGUUCUGACAACUCACUCACAUUACAUCAAUGGACAGAUUCGAGUUUGCAAUUACUCCAAUGUGCAUGUUUCUGGAAUGUUGGAGGAAGCCGUGGUAAGCCAUCAAAUAAAAGGGGAACAUGUAAAACACA